rnacentral:misc_RNA from 1 species
UACCUGCAACUAACAACUUAAGGAUUUCCUUCUUAACCACCUCUUUCAUGUUUGGAUUUGAUCUCCUUUGAAGUUCAAUGGUGAUUUGCAGUUAUUUUAUAAAAUGAUCCUAUGCAUACAAAAAUUAGGGCUAAUUCCCUUGAUGUCAUCAAUUGUAUAACCUAACAAUUUACUAUAUUGUCUCAAAAUCCUAAAUAACUUUUCAACCUCUAAAUCACUCAAGCUUGCAUUAACAAUAACUAGAUAUGUUUCAUUAGGACCAAGGAAUGCGUACCUGAGUUAAGAAGGAAGUUGUUUAAGUUUUACCUUUGGUGUAUCUUCCUUUUUAAAGGAUGGUUGUUUGACUUUACAUCUUUCCACUUGUUUAAUUUGAAAAAUUGGUGCUGUAGGAUGAGGUAGACUGCUUUCCAAAUGUUAAGCAAAUGCAUCCACUUAUGGAUUGUCAUCAUCAAUAUUUCCUCCAUGAGCAAGACAAUUUUCAAGGGGAUCUUUAGGAUAUCUCUUCCUAAAAUGCUCCUACACAUGCUCAUCAAUUAUGUCAACUCUUAAGCAAGAGUCUACAUCAUGGUGAUGUUUCUUUGUGGCAUUAUCAAUGUUGAAGACUAGUUUAUCCUCUCUAAUUCUAAGAGUGAGUUUUUCACCUUUGACAUCAAUUAAUGCUUCUGUUGUAGCUAGGAAAGGCCUCCCCAA